rnacentral:tRNA from 1 species
AGCGGGGUAGAGCAGAUGGUAGCUCGUCAGGCUCAUAACCUGAAGGUCGUGGGUUCGAGUCCUACCCCCGCAACCA